AGUCCGACGGCGCUGCUCUGAGGGCUCGCAGGGCUGGAGGAGGGCGGGGGCGCGAGCGCCGCGUCGCUCACCCCGGGGAUCAAAGCAGCUGGUGGUGGCUAUGGCCACUCUCUGAGCCACAUCCGGGUGUAAGAACCAUGACAUUCUAUUGCUGUGGACACCGUUAAAAACUCAGAAGACAGGAAAUAGAGUUGGUGAGCUGCCCUUUCCUCCUACCUUGACAGAUGGUGAGCUUGGGGUGGGUUUCACGUAGGGGCAGCUGGGCGGGUAGCAACUGGGUCCACUUUGAUUUGCAGGUUACUGUGUGCCGUUACUUAGCACAUUUGCUUUUUAAAAAUGCCUUAAUGGACUGCUAUAGUAAAAAGAGAAAAAUCUUUCAUUCGUAUGUGUAAGUCGUCCAAAUGAUAUUUUUAAAGAUUUAUUUUUGUGUGUUCAUGAUGUUCUUGAAUAAUGUUUCCAUAAGUACGGUCAAAGAUAAAACACGUGGUGUACAAAAUCUGGUCGUGCAUAUUUUCGAGCGUGACUGUCUUUUGACCAGCCUUGGGUUCCAUUUCCCGAGUUCUCCGCGGACUGUGUUUCCUUAGGAGGGCUCGCGUGAGCUGGCUUGUAGGCUGGGAAACUUUUGAAUGCAGGCCAGGCUUAUACUGAUGUCCUCUGCCAGUGUCACCCCUUCCCCUCUUCCAUCAACAGCUUGGCUCUCUGACUGGGCCAGUGGAGGCCAGACUUGUGGGUCUCAGUUGUUUAUUCAGCAAACACCUUUCCUCUGCCAGGUGCUGCACCAGGCUUUGCGGGGUAUGGUGAUGAAUAAGAUGGACAGGGUAGGUGAUCUCAGGCAUCGAAUACAUUAAUGAGAAAAUAUAGUAUCUGAGGGCCUGCAUCAGUGAGGGUGAUCUGGGAAGGCCUCCCUUAAGAGGGAUCAUUUCUAUAAAAACCUGAAUGACAUGAAAAACCCUGCCAUAUAAAGACCGGGAGAGGCUGCUUCCAGCCGGAAGCAAAGUAAGUUCAAAGGCCCUGAGGUCGGAAUUAAGCUUGGCUUGUUCGAAGCACUGAAAGAUGAUUGGUGUGGCCGAGGUCUGGUGAGUGAUGUGGACGGUGGCAACAGGUGAGUAAUUUAAGGCCAAUGGCCACGGCGUGGAGUAUGGAUGUCUUAGCUUGGGUUGCUGUAAACAAAAUACCGCAGACUGGGUGGCUUGAACAAUAGAUGUUUAUUCUUUCACAGUUCGGGGGGCUGGGCAGGCUGAAGUCAGGGAGCCAGCUUGGUCGGGUUCUGAUGAGGGCCCUGCCUUGGCUUGUAGAUGGUUAUCUCUUUGCUGUGUUUUCACACGGGUGUGUGUGUGUGUGUGUGUGUGAGAGAGAGAGAGAGAGAGAGAGAGAGAGAGAGAAAGAUACCUCUGGUCUUUUCUUCUUUUUUUCUUUUGGCUGUGCCUGCGGCACGUGGAAGUUCCCGGGCUAGGGAUUGAACCUGCGCCCCAGCAGCGACCCGAGCCACAGCAGUGACAAUGCUGGAUUCUUAACCAGCUGCAUCACAAAGAAACUCCUCUGGUCUUUUCUGAUAAUCCCAUCCGGCGGGGGCUUUACCCUCAUGACCUCAUCUAACCUAAUUAUCUCCCAAGGCCCCACCUCCAAAUACCUUUACAUCUGCAGUUAGGGUUUUCGUGUAUGAGUUUUGGGGAACACAAGCAUUCCAUCUGUCGCAAUGGAUUUGACCAUUAAGCAUGAUGAGACCUUUGAGUCCUGUGCGGUUUUCUUGGAGGCAGGGGAGAGGAGGGCAUUGUGGUGGCAAGUACCCUUGGCCAAAGGCUUGUUUCUUCUUUCAUUCUUUCUGUUGGAUAUUCCCAUUUAGCUUAACUACCAGUUUGGGUUUCAGUAGGUUAAGAGGUCACAUGACACGGCAGAUCAUCAAUAAACCUCCAGAUUCCAAAUCUACCGUGUCCUGGCUCAGUGUAGACGCAGACUCCUGGAGCUGGGCCCUUGGCGUGAAACAGGGUCCUCAGAGCCCCUCGGCUGCGCCCCUUCCAGCACCUCCGACAUCCCCUGAAUCUGAACAUGAGUCUGAUGGGGGGAACUUUCCUUCUCAGGGUGCCUCUGGCAUCGUCCAGGCUUCUGAUGCCUAAAGCUAGAGCUCCUGCCCCCUGGAUCCCAGAUAUUAUCCUGGUUUGGGAAGAGUCUUUGCCAGGAUGUUGAGAACUGGAGGGGGCAUUGAAACUCCUGGCGAGCAUUCUUCUCCCGCCUCUAGUUCAGGUUACUCAGAGGGUGAUCCAGGCUAGUUUGCUUGCAGAAGGGUAAGCCAGCCAGCAUAUGUGUGUGCUUGUGUUUGAAUUCUGCAUUUAUCUUCUUGUCUGAUGGUUUCAGACAAGCCAUUUAACAUCUCACACCUAAGUUGACUGUCUAGUUUGAAUCCCAGUUCUGCUACUUGCGAGCUGUGUGACCUUGGGCAAGUACUUAACCUCUCUGUUCCUCAAUUUCUCCAUAAAAGGGUGAUAUAAGAGUAGUGAUGUUUAAGAGACUUGACAUAGGUUAGUAUGUAGAGUUCCUAGGGUCGCAUCUGGUGGGCAGCAAGCACCUUCUGGAAGUGUGAGCUACUGACAUCAUCUAGGGGUGCAGCCUUUUGGUUAGACCGGUGUCUGAAGCCGUGUUGUUUGGUGCUUAUCUCCUGAUACGGCCGCCGCACUCACCUUCCAUCCUUGAGUUGAGCUCGGGUAUCCUGUCGCCCUCUAUGUGUGUAUCAUCUAAUUUGCAUCUGCUCCCCCAUCCUCCUUAACUCCAUCAAGUAAUCAGGCUCAGUUUUCCCCUCAAUUUUCCCAUCCUCCUGCCAUGACCGCCUAUGUCACCUUUCUCCCAAUGUACUGUUGUCUUCGUCCCUGUUCCCUGCUCUUCCUCUCUCAGUAACCGCCCUCCGCCCCCCCUCCCCUGAGCAUCCUACGAGGUGUCCAGGUGUUAAUUAGACUUGCACUGAAAUCUGGUGCAAAUCCACCCAUCCUCUCCUGCUAGCACCCUCAGGGCUUCGGAAGGGCUGACUCCAGGGAGAAAUUCUCUCUGCCCCAGCCACACCCCUCCAUGCGGCCCUUGCCCUUGGCUGUAGAUUCCCUUGCAGGUGGGAGAAGCCCUGAGGGCAGCUCCCGUGUCUUCUUGGGGUCAUUUCUCGCCCCUUGGUCGCUGUGUUGCUUCUGGGGUUUUGAAGGCCUUUCUUCACACCCUUGUCCUCCCCACAGCCUUCCACUCGGCCUGGCUGGCAUCUGUUGAUGGCUUGUCUGACAUUCUGGUUCCGUCCCCUCGGUUACCGUGCUCUUUGGAGCCACCCUCUGAGGCUCAGCUCCCCAACCUGUUCUCUUUUCAGUCUCUCGCUGGGAGAUGCCAUCAGUUACCAUAACAUCAGCACGCAGUCGUUUUCUCUCCAUUGUGACCUUGACUUCUGCUCCGAGUGGGGCCGUGUGUCCCCAGUGGUCUCAGGGAGGAUCCCCCGAAACCGCUGACACCCAGGCUCUCUAGCGUGCUCUCUAAGCUGGCUGCUCCUUUUGAUUUUUCUGCUGCCCACAGGGACGGGCACAUCCUUUCCAGCUCCGUGCCCGGCACUGUGUCUGCCCUUCCCUUCCCCUUCGGCAGCCUGCCUCUUAGAGCCGUUCAUCCUUCCCGCCAGCCUGGGAUCUGGUUGUUCCCUCAGGUGGAUUCAUGCAGAUUUCUCAUGGUGUCUUCUUCUGGGUCUCUCCUCAAACUCCCUCCAGAUCGCAGAACUGUCUGCAUCAAGGGAAAUCUUUAAAGACUCCCAGGUGCCAGGGCACAGGGCGGCACCCCUCUUAGCACGGAGUUCAGAGUCCAUGCUGACUCCUGAGCAGCAGUUCCUGCCCUGUUGUCCUGUUUUCAGCUCACCGCCUUCAGCUCCCUGAUCCCGCAUUCUCUCCUGGGCCCGGCCUGCCUCCAACCCCCUCAGCCUGCCCCUUCUUGCUCCCACUCUGGAUGCCUCCUGGGAGGUUAGUUUCAUGUGUCGCCUUGGCCGGGUCCCAGUAGUAUCAAACACGAAUCUAAGUGUCGCCGUGAAAGUAUUUUGUGGAUGUGGUUAACAUCUAGAGAAGGUUACCCUGGAUGAUGUGUGUGGGCCCCAUCCAAUCAACUGACAGGUCCUAGAGAAGGAAUUCUUCCUCCAGACCUCAUUGUCAGCUCCUCCUGUGUUUGGGGAGGUCCCCGGUGGCACAGUGGGUUAAGGAUCUGGCAUUGUCACUGAUGUGACUCAGGUCACUGCUAUGGCGAGAGUUCGAUCCCUGGCUGGGGAAUCUUCCAUAUGCCAUGGGCACAGCUAAAAAAACGCAAUAUAAACAAAAAGAAAUCAAUCUGUGUGUGUGUGUGUGUGUGUGUGUGUAAAUAGACACAUGUGCACGUGUGCACACGCACAUGCCUACAGAUAUGUAUGCAUGUUUUCCUGGUUCUGUUCCUCUGAGAACCCUCACUGGUGUACCUUCCGUGGCCUGCCCAGACCUCACCUUCUGAAAUCCUCUGAGUAGUCAGCCUCCAGAAGCCAUGCCUUCCAGCCUUUUCUGAGUUCCCUGACCGUCUGGAUCCCUCCUUGACUUUUCUCACAGAGCGCCUGGUAGGGUUACGAAACUUUAAGGUUGUACCCCCACAGUUCUAUUCUUGGGGAGAGGUACCCAUUUUGUGCAUCCUUGGCUCUUCCUAGGCUCCCAGAAGAACUAUGGGUACGUAGGAGGUGGUCCCUAAAUAUUUGCUGGCUGAAUGCGCGUGGAGGGAUUGGGUGGUAGGUUUGCUGCUGGUGACUCUAAGCUGACUGGAAAUACUUUCCUGGAUUUUCGGUGGGGAGCGUCAAGGGUGUCUAACCCAAGGUCCUUCUUCAAAGAGUUGGUUUAUUCUUUUUGUGCUCGAGGCCUGAGGUUCUAAAAUAUACCCAGGCUACAUUUCUUUCCCCCUGUUCUCCAUGUCUCGGCCCAGCAAAGUUUUCCAGAUCGUAAGGUACUAGUUCAGACAUACCAGCGGAGACUAAGACUUGAAACUCUCUGGGGCUUCCAGAUGGUCAUUUGGUUAGUGGACACACCCGGAGUGUUGUCAUGCUUAGAGCUGCAUCUCCUGGUGGAAUGUGAGUCUUGGAUUUGCCUCCUAAGUGGCCAUCCCUUGUGGAUCUGCCAGGAGUUCCAGGUGGAAAACCACAGAGGUGCCCGUCUACGUGCGGACAGCCGAGCAGACUGCAGGACCGGGGCAUCCUUGUGACCUGCAGCCCAGCCCCCACCGUGCAGGCUGACUCCUUCCAGGUCCCUCGUGAUGUGUCAGCACAUUCAUUCAAGAAAUCCCUGCCUUGAGCUAGGGAGCUUUUCAGUUUUAGCAAAAGCCCAUACCUUCCUGGAAUUUUCUCUUAAAGACCUAGUGCGUAACCCUGCUUUCCCUCUGCUGGGACAUUUUGGAAUUGACAGCCCUCAGGCCGUCUCUUUUAACCAAAAACACCAUUCCUGUUGUUGGGUGAGGCAGAGUUAACGAGCACAGAGGAGGGCAUGGCACAUGACUUUUCGACAUGGCCCCGAUUCCUUUUAUUUUGUCGUUUUUAUGGAAAGGUCAAAUAAUUGGGAAAAAAAAAGGCCUUCGAUGAGGAAUUCUACUUAGGGUUUACAAAAAAGCACACUUUGUUGAUAAAAUAUGAACUCUUUGAAAGAUUUCUAAGAGUCUAAAAUCCUGCACAGCCCUUCAGAAUUUGAAGCAGCAGGAAACCACUGUGAUAUUUUUAAAACAAGUAUUUAUAAAAGUAAUUGGGUACUCUUGAUGUGGAUAAGGAGGGGGAAAAAAAAACGGUAAGGAAGCUAUAUUGGACUCAACAUAAAAGCGAGGUAUGUAAUUUGCGAGCAGAACGAAGGGCGAGGACCGUGUACACACAGUACCUGCGGGCCCCUCUCGUUCCAAAGCAGUGGAGGCAGAGGCAGCCCAGCGCUCCGCAGACCCUGGGCAGUGCCCAGGCAGGUAUUGCAGCUAAUUCCUGAAACCCCAAUUUCAAACCCCGAGGCCCUCUCAUCACUGAUUACAUGCAAACAGGACAGAAAACACAUGUUUCUGAGAACAUUUUGGUUAAAAUUAAAAAUGCGGCAGUGACUGUGCCAAUAAUUUACUCGGGAAUAUCCGAACCAGAUGCUGCUAGCCAGUCAUUCCGAGUAAUUUGCCAAAAUUAUGUAUUUACUUUAAUCCGAGAGAUGAAGUUAAAGUAUGCAUGGUUUUUGUUAUUUGUGAUGCAAAAAACAAAACAAAACACACACACACACACACACACACAAACGGAACAAAACAAAACAAAACUGAUGUGACUUCAGCUAAUACCAGGUGGAGGACAAGACGUGGGCAGGCUGUCUGUUAAUUACUGCUGGAACUCGAGAGUGAGUUAAGCAAAAAUGCUGUCAGAAACAGAUCUUUGACAAGUGCAGGACCCUAGGAAGUUAGGUGGACAUUUUGGGACAGGACAUUUAAUUCCCAAAAUGACAACCUUGCCUUAAGACAGCGUUUCUACUGGGGACAGAAUUCUGAUUCCUGAGUGGCCUCCGCUCACGAUACUUCAUCUUGUUUCUGUGGUGCCAAACAUUUGGAUGAAAAUGGAAAAAAAUUCAGUGAGUUGUCUGGAUUUAUGUCCUCUGUGAAGCCAAAUCAUCAAAUAGUGGGGCUAGCUGGUCAGCUCUCUGGGGUUCUUAUUUAGGUAUUUAGCACCUAACUGGACAGAGGCAAUUUAGGGUGGUGGGUAAGCGUGCAGGCUUUGAAGUCAGGCUGCUGGGUUCAAAUCCUGGUUUUGUCACAUGUGAGCUGUGGGGGUAGUUACUUAAGGUCUCUGUGCUUAGUCUUCUCCUCAGUGAAAAGGGUGUCAUAACAGCAUCUACCUCGCGGUGCUGUUCUGAGGAUUAAAUGAGUUAACCCUUGGCGUAGCGUUUAGUCUAUUAACACCUGAAUGCAGAAAAAUCCUCAAUAAAUAUUAUUCACCUUUAUUCUUUAUACUAUUUAAGACCUAGGGGAGGGGAUUCUUUCAAUAUUGCCUUUUGUGCCCUUGACAAAUGCAAAGUGUUAUUUUGAGGGGGGAAAUUGUUUUUUUUUUUUUUCCCCAUUGUGGUAAAAUAUACAUUUACUAUUUUCACUUUUUUUUUUUUUUUUGGUCAAAUCUGUGGCAUAUGGAGGUUCCCAGGUCAAAUCGGGGCUGUAGUUGCCAGCCUACCCUACAGCCACAGCAACAUGGGAUCUGAGCCACAUCUGUGACCUACACCACAGCUCAUGGUAAUGCCAGAUCCUUAACCCACUGAGCAAGGCCAGGGAUAGAACUCGAGUCUUCAUGGAUACUAGUCAGGUUCGUUAACCACUGAGCCACGACGGGAACUCCUUCACCUUUCUUUAAAGCAUACAGUUCAGUGGCUUUAAGUAUAUUCACUUUGUUGUACCAUCAUCAUCCCCUUCCGUCUUCAGAAGAGAAAGUUUUUGUUAUAAAAAUAAAGUCUGGAACCCAUGGCUGCCUGUCUACACCUCGUCCCUCUCUCUUGACCUUUUACAGUGACCUGGUAGCAGGCUUUCUGCUCCCUCUAAUUUGGAUGUGGCUCUUGUUCUAGGAAGCACAUCUGAUCUCUGUUAGCCUUUUAGGGUCUUUGCACAAUCCCCCCACCCCCUGUACCAUUCCUACAGAAUAAAACCUGGUCUCACUAGCAUGGCAUGUAAAGUUCAUGCCUGAUGCCCUAAUACUUGGCUCACAGGCCCCAAGGAGUGUUUGGAGGUCUCUGAAUAGUAGCUGCCAGUUCGGAUAAAGGAUGAGCGAUCCAGGAAUCAUGCCCAUUUUAUGGAUGAGAAGCAGUGUGGGCUUCAGCCUGGGAUGGCGCCUCACUUAGGACUGGGUGCUCUUCGGGGUCUGUCGUGUUGUACACAGUUUGAGGGGCACCAGGAACCAGGCAGCAUUCUCUGCUUCCCAAAUCCUGCUUGAGGGUGGUCCUUGCAUGUGAAAUGGUGCUGCCAGGGAGCUGGGUCUGAGGUCAGGGGUCCAGUCCUGCCUCUGCCCCUCAUUUGGGUGGGGACCCGAUCCUCUGUCCCUCAUCUCUGAAGUGAGGUUGGGGCUCAUUGGUCUCUGCAGAAGUGGGUGAGGCCUGGGAGGGCUUCCUUCGGAUGGGUGCAGAGACAAGGUCAGAGGAGGCAGAGGGGCCUCCUUAUUCUUCGCUUUGCCUGGGGAGCUGCCUGGCUCCUGGCACCUGCUCGCACUCUGAAAAUGUGCCGCCUGGGGAGUCUGCGGAGUGAAGGAAUCGCUCCUCAGNNNNNNNNNNNNNNNNNNNNNNNNNNNNNNNNNNNNNNNNNNNNNNUCAGCUCCCCCACGCCCGUCUCCCUCUGUAUUAGCUAGCAUGCCUGGCACUGGCUGUCCACUGGCCUAUUCUUAUUAUGCAUUUGACCUUGGGAAAUUGAUACCUUUCUUCUGGAUCCUUUAAAAAAAAAAAA
rnacentral:lncRNA from 1 species